rnacentral:rRNA from 1 species
AGGACGAACGCUGGCGGCGUGCUUAACACAUGCAAGUCGAGCGGAAAGGCCCUUCGGGGUACUCGAGCGGCGAACGGGUGAGUAACACGUGAGCAACCUGCCCCUGGCUCUGGGAUAGCCUCCGGAAACGGGGAUUAAUACCGGACAUGACCUGCUGCCGCAUGGUGGCGGGUGGAAAGUUUUUCGGCCAGGGUGGGGCUCGCGGCCUAUCAGCUUGUUGGGGGGGUGACGGCCCACCAAGGCGACGACGGGUAGCCGGCCUGAGAGGGCGACCGGCCACACUGGGACUGAGACACGGCCCAGACUCCUACGGGAGGCAGCAGUGGGGAAUAUUGCGCAAUGGACGGAAGCCUGACGCAGCGACGCCGCGUGCGGGAUGAAGGCCUUCGGGUUGUAAACCUCUUUCAGCUCCGACGAAGCGAAAGUGACGGUAGGAGCAGAAGAAGCACCGGCCAACUACGCGCCAGCAGCCGC